GAACGGGUGAGUAACGCGUGGGUAACCUGCCUCACACAGGGGGAUAACAGUUGGAAACGGCUGCUAAUACCGCAUAAGCGCACAGUACCGCAUGGUACAGUGUGAAAAACUCCGGUGGUGUGAGAUGGAUCCGCGUCUGAUUAGCUAGUUGGCAGGGCAACGGCCUACCAAGGCGACGAUCAGUAGCCGACCUGAGAGGGUGACCGGCCACAUUGGGACUGAGACACGGCCCAAACUCCUACGGGAGGUAGCAUG
rnacentral:rRNA from 1 species